rnacentral:rRNA from 1 species
GACGAACGCUGGCGGCGUGCCUAAUACAUGCAAGUUGAGCGAUGAAGCUUGGUGCCUGCACCAAUUUGAAGAGCAGCGAACGGGUGAGUAACGCGUGGGGAAUCUGCCUUUGAGCGGGGGACAACAUUUGGAAACGAAUGCUAAUACCGCAUAACAACUUUAAACAUAAGUUUUAAGUUUGAAAGAUGCAAUUGCAUCACUCAAAGAUGAUCCCGCGUUGUAUUAGCUAGUUGGUGAGGUAAAGGCUCACCAAGGCGAUGAUACAUAGCCGACCUGAGAGGGUGAUCGGCCACAUUGGGACUGAGACACGGCCCAAACUCCUACGGGAGGCAGCAGUAGGGAAUCUUCGGCAAUGGACGAAAGUCUGACCGAGCAACGCCGCGUGAGUGAAGAAGGUUUUCGGAUCGUAAAACUCUGUUGGUAGAGAAGAACGUUGGUGAGAGUGGAAAGCUCAUCAAGUGACGGUAACUACCCAGAAAGGGACGGCUAACUACGUG